GAAAGCCUGACGGAGCAACGCCGCGUGAGGGAUGGAGGCCUUUGGGCUGUAAACCUCUUUUCUCAAGGAAGAAGAUCUGACGGUACUUGAGGAAUAAGCCACGGCUAAUUCCGUGCCAGCAGCCGCGGUAAUACGGGAGUGGCAAGCGUUAUCCGGAAUUAUUGGGCGUAAAGCGUCCGCAGGCGGCCGUUUAAGUCUGUUGUUAAAUCGUGGAGCUCAACUCCAUCACGGCAAUGGAAACUGUUCGGCUUGAGUAUGGUAGGGGCAGAGGGAAUUUCCGGUGUAGCGGUGAAAUGCGUAGAUAUCGGGAAGAACACCAGUGGCGAAAGCGCUCUGCUGGGCCAUUACUGACGCUCAUGGACGAAAGCCAGGGGAGCGAAAGGGAUUAGAUACCCCUGUAGUCCUGGCCGUAAACGAUGAACACUAGAUGUUGGGGGAAUCGACCCCCUCGGUGUCGUAGCUAACGCGUUAAGUGUUCCGCCUGGGGAGUACGCACGCAAGUGUGAAACUCAAAGGAAUUGACGGGGGCCCGCACAAGCGGUGGAGUAUGUGGUUUAAUUCGAUGCAACGCGAAGAACCUUACCAAGGCUUGACAUCCUGCGAAUCUCCAAGAAAUUGGAGAGUGCCUUCGGGAACGCAGUGACAGGUGGUGCAUGGCUGUCGUCAGCUCGUGUCGUGAGAUGUUGGGUUAAGUCCCGCAACGAGCGCAACCCACGUUUUUAGUUGCCAGCAUUCAGUUGGGCACUCUAGAAAGACUGCCGGUGACAAACCGGAGGAAGGUGUGGACGACGUCAAGUCAUCAUGCCCCUUACGCCUUGGGCUACACACGUACUACAAUGCUGCGGACAAAGAGUAGCGAUCUUGCGAAAGUUAGCUAAUCUCACAAACCGCGGCUCAGUUCAGAUCGUAGGCUGCAACUCGCCUACGUGAAGGAGGAAUCGCUAGUAAUCGCAGGUCAGCAUACUGCGGUGAAUACGUUCCCGGGCCUUGUACACACCGCCCGUCACACCAUGGAAGUUGGCC
rnacentral:rRNA from 1 species